GAGAGAGGCUCGCCAGCAACCAGGACUGCUAAUUCUCGUCACCUUGGUUGAACUCCAAGGCUCACUCG
rnacentral:tRNA from 1 species